rnacentral:lncRNA from 1 species
GCGGUCUUUGUUUGUAAAAAUGUAUUGACGGUUGCAGUAUAAAAAACAGUAUCUAGUAACAUAAACACAUUGUUUUUUUUAAACUUUAAUCACUCUUCAAAUAAAAUACAUUGUAACUCUCCAAAUAUGUAUUUAAAGUAAACGUACGUAUAAAGCCUCCUCGUCCUCCACCUGGUUUCCUCAUUUUUGUUCCUGAUGUUGAGACCAUUCCUCCUCCUCCUCCCCAUACCCCUCCUUCCAGCUGUUGUCCAUAAAUAUAU